rnacentral:rRNA from 1 species
UGCCGGAAUGAGUAGCGCGAAUUAUGUGAGAAUCAUAAUGGCCGAAAGCCUCAGGUUUCUGGAGGAAGGUUCGUCCGCUCCAGGUUAGCCGGGAGCUAAGGUGAGGCCGAAAGGCGUAGCCGAUGCACAUACGGUGGAGAUUCCGUAGCCGUCGAAAUAUUUAAGCAAAGGGACACUUAUGAAGGACAUGACCCGGGCGAUGGUAGCCCCGGGCGUAAGGGACUGAAAACAAGUAGGGAAGCAUGUUUGGAUUAAGGCGAGAAAAGCUUUGUGUAUAUAUGAGACGUCCGUACCGCAAACCGACACAGGUAGUCAGGAAGAGGAUUCUAAGGCCAACGGGAGAAGGGUAGUUAAGGAACUCGGCAAAUUGACCCCGUAACUUCGGAAUAAGGGGUGCUCACUAAGGUGAGCCGCAGUGAAUAGGUCCAGGCGACUGUUUAUCAAAAACACAGCUCUCUGCUAAAUCGAAAGAUGACGUAUAGGGGGUGACACCUGCCCGGUGCUGGAAGGUUAAGAGGAGGAGUGCAAGCUCCGAAUUGAAGCCCCAGUAAACGGCGGCCGUAACUAUAACGGUCCUAAGGUAGCGAAAUUCCUUGUCGGGUAAGUUCCGACCCGCACGAAUGGUGUAACGAUCUGGACGCUGUCUCAACUGCCCACCCGGCGAAAUUGUAGUACCGGUGAAGAUGCCGGUUACCCGCGGCAAGACGGAAAGACCCCAUGGAGCUUUACUGUAACUUGAUAUUGGGUCUUGGUAUUCUAUGUACAGGAUAGGCGGGAGACUAUGAAACAUACACGCCAGUGUAUGCGGAGUCACCCUUGGGAUACCGCUCUUAGAGUACUGAGAUUCUAACCUGCGGCCGUGAAUCCGGUCGGGGGACAUUGUCAGGUGGGCAGUUUGACUGGGGCGGUCGCCUCCUAAAAGGUAACGGAGGCGCUCAAAGGUUAGCUCAGCACGGUCGGAAACCGUGCCUCUGAGUGCAAACGCAAAAGCUAGCCUAACUGCGAGGCUGACGGGCCGAGCAGUAACGAAAGUUGGAGUUAGUGAUCCGGCGGUAUGUGAAUGGAAAUGCCGUCGCUCAACGGAUAAAAGCUACCCUGGGGAUAACAGGCUGAUCUCCCCCAAGAGUCCACAUCGACGGGGAGGUUUGGCAC